rnacentral:lncRNA from 1 species
CUAUAAUUCAGUGGUUGUCGUUUGUUUAUGUGUUACAUAUUUGUUUUUCGUUCCUUUUUUUACAUAAAUAAGGCCGUUAGUUUUCUCGUUUGAAUUGUUUUACAUUGUCUUAAAGGGGCCUUUUAUAGCUGACUAUGCGGUAUGGGCUUUGCUCAUUGUUGAAGGCCGUACGGUGACCUAUAGUUGUUAAUGUCUGUGUCAUUUUGGUCUUUUGUGGAUAGUUGUCUCAUUGGCAAUAAUACCACAUCUUCUUUUUUAUAUAGUCGA